rnacentral:lncRNA from 1 species
UUAAAACAGAAAGUAAAGUUGUAUUAUUUAGCAUGUGAAUAGAAUGUAGCAUAAGUUUUGCCAAAGGUUUUAUGUGUUUACAAUGGUUGUUGAAACUACUAUUUAUAGUUAUACCUAGAAAAGAGGAUUCUAGGAUCAAACCCUCUUAAAUGACAAUAAAAGGGGUCAUUGAUGAAUGUGUAAAGGUAGGCCAUGAAUGUCAAAUUUUUAUGCAACAUCUGCUUAUUUAAUACUAGAAAAUAUUCUUCAUUAAAUGUCAUCUGGUGACAAACACUCGAUCUGCUCCCGCUGAUUAUGCUCCAUUCAGGAUCUAUCCGAUAUCAACUACAGUUGUUGACCCGAGUUUUGAUUCUUACUUUAUUUGUCUUCCGAGUGUCUCUAAUUCCACGUGUCAUGCUACCAUUCGGUCAUUUAAUAUAGAUCUAUUUUAUCCUAUACAGAUAGUCUCCCUAUUUUCCGGUGGCACAUCUUUAUGUCAUCGGGAAGUUGGUGAAGAUCCCUUUCUUAGCAAAAAAGAUUUUGAAACCUUCUAAGCAGUCCCUGACGCUUGAUAAGACGUAUAUCUCUUUGCAUUUGAUACCUAGAACACGUAUUUCCCCACGAUUCAGUAAUAUUUUCACCAAUUCUCGAGGUAAUCAUGGUCAUAAUUUCUAUCAUUUAUAUCUUUACUUAUACUAAUCAUCUUACCUCUUUCACUUCCAAAGCCCUUAUAAGAUCAUUACCUUCUUUGCUCUUAGCCUUCUUCUGCUUUCCUCUCUUUCCAGCCUUCUUCAAAACUUGGUCACCUUCUUGCUAUUAUAGCUUCUUUCAAUAAUCUCUUGAAAAAUCUAGGCUUCUCUUCGGUAGAGGCCCGAAGAGAAGAAAAGAUAAGGAGGUUGAUGUUGAUGCUGAUACCCCUACAGUAAGCCACUAUAACAAAAAGGGUAUUUAUUGGUAAUUAAAAAUGGUUUUAGCGGCAAUAACAAUAGCCGCUAUAGCUUUUACCGGCCAUUGGUGUUUAGCCGUUGAUGUUGGCGUCGUUAAAG